rnacentral:lncRNA from 1 species
UUUCAAAUUUGAAAUUUCAAAUCUCAAAUCUCAUUGUUCAAAUUUCAAAUUUUGAACUUUAAAUUUAAAAUUUAUUUUUUAAAUUUAAAAUUUAAAAUUCUAAAUUCUAAAUAUAAAAUAUAAAAUUUUUAUUUUAAAAUUUUAAAUUUCAAAAUUUUAAAAUUAAAUUUAGAUUUUUAUUUUUAAAAUUUUUAAUUUUAAAAUUUAAAAUUACACAUUUCACAUAUCAAAUUUUAAAUUUUAAAUUUCAUUGAAAUUUGAAAUUUAAAAUUUAGAGAAAUUUCGUGAAAUUGCACAAUGCGCAUCCAAACAGUUUAAAAAUUGAAUCCGCGGAAUCUUUUUAGAGUUACAGGAUUUCCUAUUUCAUUGGACCAAAGGUCCAAAACCACAGUUUAUAAAUUUUCGUGGAGAAUUUUUGCUGUACAUCCAAAUAGGCCCUAAGGUGUAGAUCAGAUGGUACUAUUUUCUGUCAGUAAUUAAUUUAAGAGACGUUUUUAAUUUGCUAGUUAUUUUAUAUAAUGUAUUCAUUCAUGUAUGUGACUUCUUCGUUUGAUUGGGGAUUAAGUAAGAACUUGUUAUUCCAGAGAUAGGAUUAAGUUCAGGAUUAAGGUGGGGUUAGAAUAAUUUUGUGUUUGGUUGAGAAUUGAGUUUAGUUUAGGUAUAAGUAAAAUAGUAUUUGAUUGGAGUAGGUGGAAUAAGAAGGACAUUGGUUUGUUAUAAAUAGAAAAUAAUGAUAUUGCCCCAAUUAUUAUAUAUAAAUUUAAAUUUUAAAUUUAAAUAAUUAAAAAUAAUAAUUUAAAAUUU